UAAGUUGGACGUGAAAGCUCCGGGCUCAACCCGGAGAGGCCGUACAAUACUGUUUGCCUAGAGGGGGUCAGAGGGGCGUGGAAUUUCCGGAGUAGCAGUAAAAUGCGCAGAUAUCGGAAGGAACACCAGUGGCGAAGGCGGCGUCCUAGGGCCCACCUGACGCUGAGAGACGAAAGCUAGGGGAGCGAACAGGAUUAGAGACCCUGGUAGUCCUAGCUGUAAACGCUGAAUGCUAGGUGUGGGGGCGGAGAGCUUCUGUGCCGGAGCGAACGCGAUAAGCAUUCCGCCUGGGGAGUACGGCCGCAAGGUUAAAACUCAAACGAAUUGACGGGACCCCGCACAAGCAGCGGAGCGUGUGGUUUAAUUCGAUGCUACACGAAGAACCUUACCUGGGAUUGACAUGAUCGUGGUAGGGAAGCGAAAGCGGACCGACCCUUCGGGGAGCGAUCACAGGUGCUGCAUGGCUGUCGUCAGCUCGUGCCGUGAGGUGUCGGGUUAAGUCCCGUAACGAGCGCAACCGUUGCCCUUAGUUACAAGUGUCUAGGGGGACUGCCGGCGGGAAGCCGGAGGAAGGUGGGGAUGACGUCAAGUCAGCAUGGCCUUUAUAUGCCAGGGCUACACACACGCUACAAUGGGCGGUACAGAGGGCAGCGAAGCCGCGAGGUGGAGCGAAUCCCAGAAAGCCGUUCGUAGUUCGGAUAGCAGGCUGCAACCCGCCUGCUUGAAGCUGGAGU
rnacentral:rRNA from 1 species